GCUCCUAUAGCGCAAUCGUAUAGAGCAGAUCCGUCCUAAGGAUAAGGUUGUAGGUUAGAGUCCUAUUAGGAGCGCCA
rnacentral:tRNA from 1 species